GGUGGGUUGGACAAAUUGGUUAAGUCACUGCCCUUUCAAGGCAGUCAUUAGGGGUUCAAAUCCCCUACCCAUUACAAACCA
rnacentral:tRNA from 1 species